CUGAGUGUGUGUUCAAGGACAUGCAUAUAUUAUGAGGGGGUUUGACGGGAGCCCGGGUAUGAGCAUCCCAUGAACAUAGACGUGGACGUGGAGGUGGGCGUAAUCAUUAGCGCCACGUAUUUGAGAUAUUUAAUUAAGGCCCUGUGGAAGCGAUGGAGGGUGUGUUUAUGGAGACUAUGACGCCUAAAAGUGCAGCCCGUCCUUGUCCAGCGCCAGCCCAGCCCAGCACCAGAGUUCAGAGAGCGACUUACACCGAGGCGACACGAGGGGGUCAUUGGGUCCUGCCUCGGCUGCAUUCCAUUCAGUAACAAUCUGCCCACCUCUCUCUCUCGCUUGGUUUCUCUCUCGCUUUGAUGGCUCCACUACAGCCGUACGAUGCCUCGAGCACGUGCCCCACUCGGCGGCAGUGCUCCACUCAGUUGAGGUUGGUUUCUCGUACGGCGUGGUCGCAUUCUGUUCUAUCCGCAUCGCGUCAGAGUAUAUUUUCCCCGAGUCAGUGGCAGAGUCUCUGUUGGUGUGUCAGUGUCCGUGUGUGGCAGAAUUCCCAGAAAAAAGCAGCCAAAAUUAGGCUUUUCAAAAAUGGAUAAACAAAACAUGAAAAUGUGUAUAAAUGCCGCCGAAAAUGAACGCAUUAAAAUGAAUCAUAAUUGAGAGCAAGGAAAAAAUGAGCAAGAGUAUCUAAUCUCGAGCGUAUGAAAGGAGUGCGAGCGAGCGAGAUAGCGAAUCGAUACGAAACGAAAAGCUCUUUGGGAUGCGUUUCAUUUGCAACGUCAUCGCGUCAUCAACAGCUGAAGACAGCGAACACACUCACAGCUUCUAUCUCACACACACCCAUUUUUCAACUCUCUCCCCUGUGAACAGAGCCCCCGAGGAAAGGGUGUCAGCAAACAUCUGCAUUUUAUUAAUUAACGAGAAACGAAUUAGAUAAUUAAUUUAAUAUAUUCUCCUCCUCUCCAGAGAAACUGUAAAGAAACAGACUCACGCAAUCAGACUUGCGCAAAGCAAAAGAGAGAUAAACGAGAGAUAGAGAGAGAGAGAACGUCGUAUAACAACUACAAUCGAGAGCGAGCUGAGAGCAGUGCACAAAGCAAAGGCCAGAGCGAGAGGGAAGUCGAACACACGCAGGCACACGAUACAAACUCUUUCACCGCGUCGGUUGUGUGUGUGCCACUCAAAAAAUUCGUCUCUUCGCGUCCACAACGUGCCACCAAGUGAGCGGAAAGUUUUCAGCCUGAUUUUCAUAGUCGCCGUAUGAGAAGUUUACUCUGUUUUUCUUUCGUUGCCUUUUGUUGCCCCUUCGCAGCGGUGUGAAGAGUGGGACAACGAAUUAUCCAACUAAAAAGCGGACUCAAAAAACAAAAACAAGUUCAAGCCAAAAUCAACAAACGAUUGGAUUGUCUAUUGCAGUGCGGAAUAUCGAUUUUUGUCAUACGCGCGCGUCGAUGACCUCGCCGACAACAAUUACAACGGAGAGCUGAGAGCAGUGCAAAAAUCAAAGGCAAACGCAGAGUCAAAGGCUAAAGCAAAAGCAACUACAACACAAGUACACACAUACACACACACACCUAUUCGUGCAUUUUCGAAGCUGCCUAAUACCGACUCUUAGCCACGUUUUACAUAAUUGGCCAAUUGCAGAGUCAGGCAAAAGUGCGAGCAACAACUACGACGGCGACCGUUGCAAGCCGAGUGCCAGAGGGAAAGGGAAACAAACAUUUAGACAGACGGAGAAGAAGAGCGGGAGGAAGGAGAACAGCAAGUAGCAAGCGGGAGAGGAGCGGCAGCGGCAGCGUCGGCGGCGGCAGCCAAGAACCCCAGAGACACAUGCUUAGAUAUCGUCUCGUGUCCACACACUUUUUGAAGCAGCCGUAGUCAGCCAGAGCGAGAGGGAAGCGAAAUAUUGAGAGAGUGCACCACCACCACCACCACCACCUAAGGGGGGAGAGAAACAUCUAGAAAGAACGCCGAAGAGAGAAAAGUGCAGUUGCAAACCCGAAGAGAAAGACUGCGAGCGAUCGCAGGAUAACGUCAUCUCUCGAUACAAAAAGCUUGUCAAGUGCGCACCGCCUGCUCAUUGACGCCCCAAACAUUGAAAGCCCGGUCGAGAGUGGCAUACAACACUUAACCGUUCAUUCGCUCGGUAGUGCAUCAUCCAGAGGCAGCCACACCCGCCCUACGCCCAUACGCCCACGCCUGAACCGCAGCUGUUGCAGCGGACACCGAUUUCGCACCGAUCCAGGCCCUAUAAUUCAGUCACAACGUAUUCGCUAGGAGUUCUGCGCCUGCUUGGUCUGAGCUGUUGUGAUUUGGAUAGCGAAAAUGUGCAGAGAUCGCGAUAUGAGUUUGUCAUAGAUCAGCGCAACCGUCGUUACAAGGUCAAGAAAAAAAUCAAACUCAAGAGCGAAUAAACAUCGGAUUUGUUGGCGUGGAAGCGCGAAGAAGAGACUCUGACAGAUAGACAGGCAGAGAGACAGAGAGAGAGCGAGAAGAGAUAGUCUUGGACCAACAACAAACAACAACAGAUUGAACGGAAAAAAGCUAUAAUACCAAAGUUAACAGAAAUCCUGGUUGGAGAGGAUAACCGGGAUACAAUAACAGACGGACAAUAGAUAAUAGCCAGCCGGCACAAACGCUUGCCGCUUGUUCGUGUGUGUAUUUUUUGGGAUCAUCGGCAAUGUGACUGUCCAGCGGCACGGCUUAAUUGUUCGGUUCGGUUCCCC
rnacentral:sRNA from 1 species